rnacentral:pre_miRNA from 1 species
AAUAGAAUGACUAGGUAAUAAGGUAGUUCUAUUUAAUUUUUUGAGGAACUGCCAAAUUGUUGUCCACAGUGGCAGCACCAUUUUUUAUUCCUACCAGUAAC